ACUUGAUGCAUUCUGUUAACUUUAUUUUUAAUGUUAUAUUCGUAUCUUUGAAGGUGUGCCAGAAAGCGGCAGAUGGUCGUGAAUUUUUCCCAAGCUUUGCCCGGUUUAGCACUGGCUGCCAUCGUUGGCCUGGGCCUUCAUACCCGAGGGGGUUAGCACGCCAGCACAGCGCUAUGAACCCAGGAACCUCUCACCAAUGUCGUUGCUCAGAUUGACAACUACAUUUUUUCUGAAGUGGUGGAACAGUUUACACUGUCGUCAUUGUCUUCAUGUUAACAGCAGGAAGAUUCAUUUGGGCUCCAUACAACAUGGAACUUCAAGCAAAAUGCAGGCCAACAUUCCAAGACCUCAUACAGAAAUGCGUCCUACACCUUUCACAGACAUAAAUGCACUGUGCAGUGAUGCUCGAAUGACCAUGCUCUGGAACGUCUAAAUAUGGAGAAGAGUAUCCCUGUGGCUUCUUUGUUUCAAUAUAAAAUUAUUUUAAAUAUUCAGGAAAGUACACAUUGUUAGCAUGGUGCAAAGUCAGCAUAUUUUGCAUUAUUACGAUCAUGUUUGUUGGUUCCUUCAUUGAGAAGGAAGAGUGCAAGUAUCUUUCCAAAACAUUAAUAAAUUGUAGAACAACAUUUUUGUAAUAAUCAGCUCAUUACAUAUCAGUCUCGCUGAUAGUAUGAGUACCAUAAUGCAGAAAUUGCAAAGCUCUUGCACACUUGUUAAAGUGCAGGGAGAAAGUGAUAAUAUUUAAUUUGUGUAAUUCAUAUUACACAUAGGUGAACGACUUAAAAUUUUACCCAAAAGCUCAUUUUUAGAGGCAAAUAAACGUUGUCAGAUAUUAUUUUUGGUGUGAUAACUUACUUAUUCCUUUAUGAUAUCGUCCUACCUUCCAAACAAACCGCCAAGCACCCUUCUAACAUUAAUAUAACUCUCGGAAACAACACAAUGUACAACUUUUGUGAUGGUCCAAAUUUUAGGUCAUACACCGUAAAUUUCAAAAGUACUUUAACUGCCUUAUCGGUGUUCAAAUGUUCAAAUAAUAUUUCUUUGUCCAUGUUCAUUUGUAAUAUUUUUGGGUUAAAUAAGUAUAAAUAAAUGGUU